CUCCAAUAGCGUAUAUUAAAGUUGUUGCAGUUAAAAAGCUCGUAGUUGAAUUUCGGGGUUAGUAGGUUGGUCAUGCCUCUGGUAUGUACUGGUCUCACUGAUUCCUCCUUCCUGAUGAGCCGUAAUGCCAUUAAUUUGGUGUUGCGGGGAAUUUGGACUGUUACUUUGAAAAAAUUAGAGUGUUUAAAGCAAGCUAACGCUUGAAUACAUUAGCAUGGAAUAAUGAAAUAGGACGUUCGAUCCUAUUUUGUUGGUUUCUAGGAUUGACGUAAUGAUUAAUAGGGAUAGUUGGGGGCAUUAGUAUUCAAUUGUCAGAGGUGAAAUUCUUGGAUUUAUUGAAGACUAACUACUGCGAAAGCAUUUGCCAAGGAUGUUUUCAUUAAUCAAGAACGAAAGUUAGGGGAUCGAAGACGAUCAGAUACCGUCGUAGUCUUAACCAUAAACUAUGCCGACUAGGGAUCGGAUGAUGUU
rnacentral:rRNA from 1 species